rnacentral:lncRNA from 1 species
GUUUGAGUUAAAUAUAAAGUUGAUUUUAUAAGAAUUUUGCUUUAGAGAAUGCCACUUUGGCUGAACUACAAGUGUAGGCCACCAUUAUAAUUUAUAAAUACAGCAUACUUCAAAACUGUUUGUUAUCUCUUGUUACCAUGUAUGUAUAAAUGGACCUUUUAUAACCUUGUUCUCUGCUUGACAGACUCAAGAGAAACUACCCAGGUAUUACACAAGCCAAAAUGGGAGCAAGGCCUUCUCUCCAGACUAUCGUAACCUGGUGCCUUACCAAGUUGUGCUUUUCUGUUUUCAAGUGUAAAUGAUGUUGAGCAGAAUGUUGUACUUGAAAAUGCUAUAAGUGAGAUGGUAUGAAAUAAAUUCUGACUUAUGAAUAUAA